AGACGAGAGGCAUAAUUUUAUAGUGAUCGUCCAAGAUUCCUUGAUGUCAGAUAAACAUUUAUACCAGUUUACGGGUCAAAAGUCCACUUUUCCACUUUCUACCGCAUCUCCCGUUCCAGCAACAUUCUGGAUCGCUUGGAAAUCUCACUUUUCCAACAUAUACGAACCAAAUACACACGAGAGUCAUAAUUUUAUAACGAUCGUGCGUGAUUUCUGGACCUCAGAUGGACAUUUCUUGGACAAACCAGUACAAAACGUUUUCAUGUUUCUUUUAAUAAAAGUGACAAUCUGGCACAAAAGACGUCUCUAAACGGAUCAGUUAAAGGCGUUUAAAUCUUCCCCCUCGUAAUUAAAUCCGUUUUAUCGAGGAGCGAACGAAAAAAAAAAAUAAUUAGCCGAAAGUAGGUCGUCAAGUGACAGCGUUCGCAGUAGGAUUGCCAAUCGCUUUUUCUCUCUUUCUCCGUAAUGAAAGGAUUAAGAGAGGCAUAACUGAGAUGGCUGAAACGGCUUUUGACGCCUUAAAUUAGGAUUGUAAAGGUCCAAUUGUUAGAGCGGCCUUUGUGGAUAAAACAGCGGUCUGUCACUAGAAAUGUCAGAAGUCAAAAUCAGGGUUGCCAACGUUGGACGUAUUUGGCGCUAAAUAUGAAUUAUUAUUAAAAUUAAAAUGUAAAUAAAUCAUCGUAUGCAGUGUA